rnacentral:rRNA from 1 species
AUUGAACGCUGGCGGCAGGCCUAACACAUGCAAGUCGAGCGGAUGACGGGAGCUUGCUCCUUGAUUCAGCGGCGGACGGGUGAGUAAUGCCUAGGAAUCUGCCUGGUAGUGGGGGACAACGUUUCGAAAGGAACGCUAAUACCGCAUACGUCCUACGGGAGAAAGCAGGGGACCUUCGGGCCUUGCGCUAUCAGAUGAGCCUAGGUCGGAUUAGCUAGUAGGUGAGGUAAUGGCUCACCUAGGCGACGAUCCGUAACUGGUCUGAGAGGAUGAGCAGUCACACUGGAACUGAGACACGGUCCAGACUCCUACGGGAGGCAGCAGUGGGGAAUAUUGGACAAUGGACGCAAGCCUGAUCCAGCCAUGCCGCGUGUGUGAAGAAGGUCUUCGGAUUGUAAAGUACUUUAAGUUGGGAGGAAGGGCAGUAAGUUAAUACCUUGCUGUUUUGGCGUUACCGACAGAAUAAGCACCGGCUAACUCUGUGCCAGCCGCCGCAGUAAUAC